CAUCGCUCCAACGCUCAGCGCCCAUAAUUUGCUCAACUUCCCAGCUCCAUCGCAGCUAAAGUUGAAGUUUCAACUGAAGACUCCAAACAACUUCAAAGGCCAGGAAAACAUCCAGAGUACCAAGGACAACCACCACCUGUAAAAGAAAAAUAAAGUUGUGGGACAGAUGCUCCUAGAUGAACAGAAGAUCCAAAAGGCCAAGACAACUCCAGAGACAAUCACCUGUAAAAGAAAAAUAAACAUUAAACAGGGA